GUCUAAAAAGCGUACAGAAUCCUUUUGUGUUUGUCAGCUAGGUACCUAGGGAGAGAAUCUCAGGGAUUUUCGAUGGUGGCGCCGUCACUUCUUAGCGGAGCUUUUUGGAAAGCCGCAGGCUAUGCCACGGCCGGGCUCGACUGCGCGAGCGUCUAGAAAACGUACAAAAUCCUUUUGUGUUCGACGGCUAGGUACCUAGGGAGAGAAUCUCUAGGGAUUUUCGAUGGUGGCGCCGUCACAUCUUGGCGGAGCUUUCUGGAACGCCGCCGCGAGUCAUGCAGCACAUGCAGCUUUCGUCUUGACAACCAUUUGACAACGUAGUCCGUGAACCGGUGUCCCGUAGCGACUUCGUCGUGGUCGUGACUGCCUCAGAGAACGUCUAGUACUGCCUUUGCUUGAUUGACGGACGUCGAGGGCGAAACAGAGCGAAGGUGCUGCAAUGCGCUGCCUUGCCACAAGUGAAAAGUCCGUGAGGCCGGCCUGAGGGUGGCUCUGACAUGAGGCUCCCUUGUCGCCUAUGUCCAGGUGAUGCAAGCCAGAAAGACCAUUACAUGAAGCAAUGAUGGGCGAACAUAUACAUGGAGAACGAACGAAGUGAUUGUGUGAGCAGGCCAAGUCAGAAAGUUGCAAGGAAGCUAUUAUUGCAACAAAACCAGCCACCGCCGCCUCUAGCACCAUCCGGUUCCCGUGCUGCAAGUGCAGUCAUAACCCCUGUGGAGAGGGACCAGACCCCAAGGAGAAAGUAGGGGCUGUCGAGCUGCGUUUAAGUAUGCUUUGCUGGUGCUUUUAGCUAUUUCAAAAGACGCAAGAAGUGGCUCGACAUCACUUAGCCAUAGGCUGCUCUUCCUCAUCUUAAUGAGCAUAGCUCUUGCAACACUGGCUCCGCCAAAAAAACUAGGCGUAAAGUUCAAGGUAAAGUUUUUAAACCAUGUACUUUUUGUCAUCUCAUGUGAGCUGCCAUACACACAUAGAUGAAUCUUUGUUGUUGCUUGGAGGUAGACUUCAUGCUUCUCUCCCAGCAGUCCAGCUCUCUUCUCUUUCUAUUAUGUAUUACUUUUCUUUGAUUUAUGCUUCAGUGACCAAAGUAUGUAUGCUCACUCCCUGCGUGUGGAAGAGAAAUGCACCGGUGUACACCAUAAAAGGAUGCGAAAAGUUAAA